CCUACGGGAGGCUGCAGUGGGGGAUAUUGCACAAUGGGGGGAACCCUGAUGCAGCGACGCCGCGUGGGUGAAGAAGCGCCUCGGCGCGUAAAGCCCUGUCAGCAGGGAAGAAAAUGACGGUACCUGAAGAAGAAGCCCCGGCUAACUACGUGCCAGCAGCCGCGGUAAUACGUAGGGGGCAAGCGUUAUCCGGAUUUACGGGGGGGAAAGGGGGCGCAGACGGCGAUGCAAGCCAGGAGUGAAAGCCCGGGGCCCAACCCCGGGACUGCUCUUGGAACUGCGUGGCUGGAGUGCAGGAGGGGCAGGCGGAAUUCCUGGUGUAGCGGUGAAAUGCGUAGAUAUCAGGAGGAACACCGGUGGCGAAGGCGGCCUGCUGGACUGCAACUGACGUUGAGGCCCGAAAGCGUGGGGAGCAAACAGGAUUAGAUACCCCAGUAGUC
rnacentral:rRNA from 1 species